rnacentral:rRNA from 1 species
AAUCAUGGCUCAGGGUGAACGCUAGCGACAGGCUUAACACAUGCAAGUCGAGGGGCAUCAUGAGGUAGCAAUACCUUGAUGGCGACCGGCGCACGGGUGAGUAACGCGUAUGCAACCUGCCUGAUACCGGGGUAUAGCCCAUGGAAACGUGGAUUAACACCCCAUAGUACUUUUAUCCUGCAUGGGAUGUGAGUUAAAUGUUCAAGGUAUCGGAUGGGCAUGCGUCCUAUUAG